AAUGGACACUGCUGAGGAUCCAUAUCACACUAUAAAGAAACAACCACCCCAGGACCCUAUGCCUGUGUACUCACCUCCACCCCCAGUGAUGCAGAGACCGGACUCAACCCCUAUUAUUAUUGGGGAUGUACCCAAGAAGAACAGGACUGGGUUCUAUUCAGUAAAUCCCUGAGAUCCUCUGAAUGAAUGGGAGCCAUCAAGCAACAGGCAGACUGCAGUGAGCAGAGGCAGAGCGAAGAAACAUGAACUGCAUCAACAGCAUGGAUUUACAGUUCUCCAGAUAUGUUAUUUAUUGCACAAUUGUUUUAAGUUUUGACAUAGUUCUAUUUUUUGCCGAC